rnacentral:tmRNA from 1 species
GGGGCUGUUUUUGGAUUUGACAAAAUUAUCAACAAAGUAAAGUGCAUGCCGAGGAACGGUUUGCCUCGAUAAAAGCCGUAAAAAAAUAAUUGCAAAUAAUAAACAAAACUACGCUUUAGCAGCUUAAAAAACUGAAUAAAGCCCUUCCUUCUUAUCCUCCUUCUCUUAGGAUGAGAAAACAGGAAGGUCAGAAAAAGAGAAAAACGUGGAUAUCAAGCUUGACGAUAACACGAAGUAGUUUUUUCAAGCUAUAUACCUAAUAUGUGUUUUUCCAAAUUAGGUAAUGAAUU